rfam:Enterobacter aerogenes KCTC 2190, complete genome.
AUAACCAACUAACACUCUAGCCUUGGUACCUGUGUCGCAAGAUAUGGUGCUCUGGCCGCGGCAGCCGCGCUGUCGCCAGGGCGUGGAAAGAAAUGACCGCGCCUCCCGUACUUGGAAAGGUGUAUAUGGCCUCACAGC